rnacentral:rRNA from 1 species
AGUGAACGCUGGCGGUAGGCCUAACACAUGCAAGUCGAACGGCAGCACAGUAAGAGCUUGCUCUUAUGGGUGGCGAGUGGCGGACGGGUGAGGAAUACAUCGGAAUCUACUUUUUCGUGGGGGAUAACGUAGGGAAACUUACGCUAAUACCGCAUACGACCUACGGGUGAAAGCAGGGGAUCUUCGGACCUUGCGCGAUUGAAUGAGCCGAUGUCGGAUUAGCUAGUUGGCGGGGUAAAGGCCCACCAAGGCGACGAUCCGUAGCUGGUCUGAGAGGAUGAUCAGCCACACUGGAACUGAGACACGGUCCAGACUCCUACGGGAGGCAGCAGUGGGGAAUAUUGGACAAUGGGCGCAAGCCUGAUCCAGCCAUACCGCGUGGGUGAAGAAGGCCUUCGGGUUGUAAAGCCCUUUUGUUGGGAAAGAAAAGCAGCAGCUUAAUACCCCGCUGUUCUGACGGUACCCAAAGAAUAAGCACCGGCUAACUUCGUG